CAGGUGACCUGCCAUUCAGCAUUAGUGACACCUAAAUGUUGAGAAACAUAUUUGACAUUUUUUGGUUCAGCAUUUAGUAUGAUAUGAUAUACUGGAAGAUGUUAAUGAUAUUUUUUAUAUUACAAUCGUAUUAAAUUAGCUUUAGCUUGCAAAUAUUCUUUUAUGUAUUACAUGUAUUGUACAAAGAUAAUAUCACAUACAUAUAGUUUAGUUGUAAGCAAUUACUAGUACCUCAGUAAGUUUGUUUUUGAGUAAGAAACCAAAAUUUUAUUUGCGUCUUCGCGAUAUAUUUAUUUGUUUGUAUAAUUUCAGAAUAUGGCUUUAAAAGGAAUUAAGCGUUUCGGGAAUAUCGAGAGGCAGACAAAGCAACUAAAACAGCACGUUACAAGAUAAUUACAAUAAUUCCUUUGACAUAUAAAUAUAUCAAACUGCAAAAAGGCUUAACAACAAGUUCUAAAAUAAGCGAUCGACCCUUUUUUCAGAAAUCGAUCAUUGCAAUAUAUGGAAAAAGUGGUGCUUCGGAAUCAUUAAAAUCAGCAUAAUGAUAUAAAAAUUGCCAGCUCGGUUUGAUUGAGUUUGUACAUUAUGGAUAAACAUCAACACUUUGAAAAGUUCGAUGAUAAGCAGAAGAGAACAGAAAAGAUUUAUUUCUUUGACUUGUAUAUAGUACAUCAUCAUAUAUAGCAUAUAAUUUCAGAGUAACAAAUACAUUUCAUUGCGAUCAAUCAUUGCAAUAAUAUAUCUAUAUAUAUAUACACUAACAAAUCUUAUACAUGUGCAUGCAUAAAUGGUCUAAUAUGUGUGCCAUUUUUUUGUAUGAUCAUCCUGAAGUUUUCAUCAAAUAGCGUUGAGAGAUAUAUAUGAUAUUCCAUUUAUUAAAUUUCAUCAGAAACACAUAAUUAGUGAUCAUGCCCAAUAAAUGUGAUAAUGCGUUAUAAGCCAAUGUCGCAAAAAAGACCUUUAAAAAUUAUUCAAAUAUAGUAUGCCCACAUGCACUGUUAAUUUCAACCUGGCCGCGUUGUCGCAUGAAUUUGUACCAUUUUUUUUUUUGUAAUAUUUGGUUAGAUUUAAUCACUAUUGGACAAUUUUCGCAUAUUCGUAGGCGAUAGUUUGUGGUACAGUUCAAAAACUUUCUAAGGGGCAGUUCAUUUCACUCACAUUUCCGUAUAGCUUUUAUCACAUUUAAGCCUGGAUAUUUUGGUCAUAUUCCAUUACGUACAUGUUGUUAAUAAAUUUUCAGAAAGAUAGCUGGCGCCCUGGACCUGAGUUUGUAAGAUAUCCUGAAGAAACUGCAAUCAUAUGUUGUUCUUUAGACAUAAAUAAAAUAUUAGUUUGAAGCUCAUCGUAUUCGUUAUGAUCGGCGCUGAAAUAAUUAUAACUAAACCAUUAAUGAACACAUUGUUAGUGUAAACAGUCUAUAGCUGAACUUCCCUCUGGAAAGCAACAUACCUUGCCCAAUUACGAGCCAAGAUUUCUUAAGAUAUACUUAACAAAUCUUAUAUAUAAUAUAUAUAAAUAACAAAUGACAAAUUUAUAUCAGUGAAAAUAGAACAAAAGUCAAAUAAGACGAAACAUACAUGUAUAUCAUUGGUGAAUGUUGCAUAUACGGUUACCGUAAUAUACGUGACAUAUUUGUCCACACUUUAUUACGUUUAAUUUUGAAACAGGCAUCUGCUUCAGAAUAGACGUUUUAUGUCAGAAAUAUUAUGCAUGUAUCUUUAUAAAGUAUGCAUAAAUGUCUUGUUAAUAUAUGUGUAUUUGUUUUAGAGUACAUUUUGUAUUAUUUGUUUUCUAUACAUAUAAAAUGAUUUAUUCAACUAGAAUUUCAAUUUAUAUUGAAUAAUUCUCGUUAACUUUGUGUUUGAUAAAAAAUAGUGUUGAGUGUAAUAAAUGAUGAUAUAUGUAUUUGCGAAUAAAGAAACCGGCAAAUCAUGGGAAGAAACUCUGUCGAGAGAACACAUAUUAGUACACAAGAUUUAUUUCGCCUUUUUAAAACAAACCCCUGAUUUAUAGUAUGAUUUUGAUAGAAAGCACACCUGUGUCAAUUUAAAUAAAAAUGUUUUCAUAUUACAUAAUAAUUGUUUUUUUUUUAAGUUUGCCAUUCUUGUAUUAAAAUAAGAAUGUUUUAGAAAGAGUAGGCAUUAAAUUCUUGUAUUAAAAAUUGAAUGUUUAAAAAAGAGUAGACAUUAAGAUUAAAAAAAAAUAGAAAUAUAGUUGCGGUAUCAAAAUGCAAGAGCUUAGGAGAGAAAAAGUUCAGAAAUGGAGUUAAUAAAUAACAAUAUCAAUGAAAUAAUGUGAUUUUUAAGAUUAUAUUAACGUUAAAAGAUUAUCAGAUAGAAUAUUUAACCGUCUUUGCCAACUCUUGACUUACAACGAACAAUUUCUGGCUGUGUCAAGAAUCAGAAGCAUUCAUAUAUAUGCUACAAGAAAACUUAUUAUGAGGUUAUAAAAGAGCUUUCAACGCUGUUUCGCCUGAUUUUUCAUAAUGCAUGCAUGCAUGCAUGCAUAUAUAUACAAUUCAGAUGAAUUCAUGCUAAGCUUAGCAAAUAAACGUUUAUCAUGUAUGGGACGAGAUAAUUAAGCCAUGAUUUGAACGUUUUUAUGAUUUCCACUCGACACGGAUUUUAAAGAAAAAAUUAAAAUUUCUUGUAAAUAUUGGCAUUUAUUUGGUGUUUAUAUCAGCACUGUAGAAUAUGGAAAAUAAAAAGGAAAUUGUUUAAAAGUACAUUUUUGAAUGUCUAUUUUACGUUAAUAAAUCAAUACUUAACCUGCAUAGUGUAAUCUUUUUUACUUUAGUAUGUAUACAUAAGAUUAUCCCCUCGUAUUUUAAACCAUACCACUUGAACGACAAUUUUCUAAAUGAAACAUGCAUUGUUAUAAAUUGAACAACAAUGUCGCUUUGUAAAUAACGCAAUUUCAAAAUAUUACGUUAAUUGCGCGUAUUUUGUAUCGAGCGUACCCAUUUUGUCGUAUCCUUAAUUGGAUUGUUUUCCUUUGGUAAUGGAAUCAAAGUAGUAUACAAUCAAUUAUUACUUUCAAACAUGGAGGACCAAAAUUAAAUAACUUAAAUAGGCUUCAGUUAAAGAUUGAGAGUUUCUGCUGGUACAAAUGUACAAAUGUUAUUCAUUCGUAUGUCAAUAAUUGAAAGUAGAGAUUUCCAAUAUCGAACUACAGUUUGUUUGUUAUCAACUUUUCUCAAAAACAAUAUCAAAUUGAAAUUCUGCUUUUGUAUAUUUUUUUCUACCAUUCAUGUCUUGUCAUUUUAUACAUUUUCUACUUUAUUUCCUUGUAUUUCUACUUGACUUAUGUUGUGGAAUGUAUGCCAAACCAAAUCAAGGUCCUUUUGAACAACUGUUAAGAUGGAUGCAUUAUUGGGUAGUGCAAAUUAAUGUUUAAUGGAGAUUUGCAAUUUCACGUUGGAAAACCUUCGUUGAAAAGAAUAUUUUGGCUUACUUUGAUGGCUCUAAAUUACAUGUAUCUUACGUAAGAAGAUAUGACCGUGAUCUCCGUUGGUAAACUAUAAUUUCUUGGCUGAGACGCAGACACCUUAACCAUUUAGUAGUUUACUUGCUUCAAUUGUGUCAAUAUGUACAACUAUACAGAAGUGAAGAUGUGUUAACGAGACAUUUAAAUGCUGCAUACCUUUUACUUUAAUAUUUGUAAGACAUUUACAGUCGGAUCUAUAGGGAAGAUAAUAUGAUUGUUGUGUUUGAAACUCGACAAGCCCUUAUAGUAUCUAUGAGUAUAGAGACAUGAAUUAAAGUUGAAGCAGAAACGAAGGAAGAAUAAUAAUUAUUUUAAUACGAGCAGAAUCUUGUAAUAAAAUAACAUCGUAUGUAAUAAAAUAUCUUUCCAUAAGUAAAAAUGCAUUUAAAAAGAACCUUACAACAUUUUUAAUAAAUUAAAAGGUUUUGAUAAGACAAAGAACACACCACAGAAUGCACCAGGCACUUGCACAAAUUCUACAACGUAAGUAAAAAAUACUAGUUUCUGCCACUUUUAGAAUGCUGGUAUUUAUUAUUUUAUGAAAGGGUAACUCUAGACCUAAUUUGUACAUUUGACAAGUACAGGUUUAGACAGUUCAAACUUCAUAUUUAUGCGCCAACGACCUGCUUGAAAUUUCCGAAACUGGCAAACUGGUGACCUGCCAUUCAGCAUUAGUGACACCUAAAUGUUGAGAAACAUAUUUGACAUUUUUUGGUUCAGCAUUUAGUAUGAUAUGAUGUACUGGAAGAUGUUAAGGAUUUUUUAUAUAUUGCAAUCGUAUUAAAUUAGAGUGUAACAAAAAA